AGACAACAGCAGAAAUCUUAC
rnacentral:sRNA from 1 species